GAGGGUAUAGCUCGGUGGUGGAGCACCUGCCUAGCAUGCAUGAAGUCCUGGGUUCAAUUGUCUGUACCGCCA
rnacentral:tRNA from 1 species